UCUCCUUAUGCCUCGCGUUCAGGUGCCCCUCAGGGGGUGAAACGGGAAACCGGUGCGUCCCAGGCCCUUCAGCAGGGCCGGACAAUGCCGGUGCUGCCCCCGCAACGGUAAGCGAGUGAAGCGUCUGUACCACUGUGCCUCGUAGUACGGCAUGGGAAGGUGACGCGUUCCAGGAGCCCAGCUCUUCCUCGCAAGCCCGGAGACCGGCCUGGCGUUCAUGAACA
rnacentral:ncRNA from 1 species